UACGUAGGGACCGAGCGUUGUCCGGAAUCAUUGGGCGUAAAGAGCGUGUAGGCGGCCACUUAAGUCCUGCGUGAAAUCUUGCGGCUCAACCGCAAGCGAUCGUGGGAAACUGGGUGGCUAGAGUGCGGGAGAGGAGAGUGGAAUUCCUGGUGUAGCGGUGGAAUGCGCAGAUAUCAGGAAGAACACCCGUGGCGAAGGCGGCUCUCUGGACCAGCACUGACACUGAGGCACGAAAGCGUGGGGAGCAAACAGG
rnacentral:rRNA from 1 species